UUUUUAUGGAAGGAAUGAUCUUUGUUUACUUCAGUGAAUCACUGUGCCUUCCAUGUUGUUUGUGACCUACCAGUUUGCCUGGGAUCUUCUGACAGCCAACCUCCUGUCAGAGGGGGAGAAAAAGAAGGAAGAUGUGUGAGCUCCCCCUGGUGACUUCCUGAAUUCAGGCUGACUGAACCAAGGCUGCAAGGAAACAGGCCUGAGGCAGAAGGAAACAGACUCCACCUGGGUCCUGACUGACACUUGGAUCGCGAUGCUAACGUUCUGGGCCUCUCUAUUUAAUGUGGGUCCUUAGGAGGGGCGGGGUCUUCUCAGUGGACCUUUUAAACUCCAGUUUGGAAUGGGGGAUUUGAUAGCUGUCUGCCUGGGGGAAGGCCUUCUCUUGAAUCAAAGGGCUUACUUCCUUUUGGGCUAGAGUGUUUUCUCUUUGUCAGUGUGCAGUUAGUCACAACCAGUAACUUUGACACACUUCCUGUUGUGCUGUAGACACAGGGGUUGUCAUGGGAAUCCGGCACUAGCCACAGUGACCAGUGUUCUACACGACAAAACCUGAGCCAACAGUGUCCUACGCUUAGGAACGGGGGUGGGGUGGGGUCAGAAACACUGUAAACUCUGGUCAUUUACAAAAGGCUGCAGGGAAUUUUCUCUCAGUCUCCUGGGUGUGUGUGAUUUACAGAAGCCCUUAGCAAGACGUUCACAGGUAUUUAGUGUGUCCCAUUCUUUAACCACAGGGCUGGAAAGAACAGACAGAGUGUACCACCCGUAAUUCCUCCUACAUCCAGGUUAGUCCGUUCUAGACUAACUUCCCUAAAACGGGUACCAGCGUGGGUCUAGGUAAUGGCGGUUUCCAUUUCCUGUGUAAACAUGGAGGUUUGUUUCCUGUUGUUCGGCGUGUGUGACUUUGGUGGAGUCAGAGGGUCACAGAGCCUACUUGAGCCCUUUGCAAAACCACACCAAGCUUUAGUCAGUCCGGUCCACAAUCUCACACCCAUUCUCUGGUUUUUGUUCUCGAAACAGACGACAGGUCAUUCAUUCUCUCUCUCUCUCUCUCUCUCUCUCUCUCUCUCUCUCGGGCCGCAGUCACCAUGCAGACUGCUCUCUUUCCUGUGUACCUUGUUUUUUUUUUUUUUUUCGCUCUCUCUGUGCAUCCCACGAGGCGCUGCACUAACUGAUGGAAUGCACGCAGGUGCCAGAGAGGUAUUGGAAGCGCCAUGCAGAAAGAUUACUGCAGUUAGGCUCCCUCGGAAGACAGGAUGCAAUGGAUAGAGUUCGGAGCUGAAGAGAGACUUUGAGAUGUUAAGUGGAAAAUCCCUUAUCUGCAUUUGACAGAGGCCUACAAAAAACUUUAAAUACCAGUGUAAAGCGUAUUUAAAGCAAUUUACAAGAUACUAUGGAGAUGGUCAGCAAUAAAGAAUGAUAAGAGAUCUUCUUAAAAUCUUUU
ensembl:lncRNA